rnacentral:lncRNA from 1 species
CUUUAGUGACAACAUCAUUGAGGCGAGCUGGUGGCACACUCGUUCGACCCGAACGCCGUAAUUGUUCUACCGGUUCUGCUGGCUAAGGAGAUGGAGGAUCACGAGCUGGUGGUUCAGGUGUUGAGAUAUCUUCCUCGUCUGGCUCUUCUGACUCGAUCAGUAUACCUCUCCCAGCAUCAUCUUUCUUUCUCCAGCUCCACGCGUCAUCUUCAGUGAACCGAACAUCUCUGUUGACGAUCA